UAAACAUGGGCUUUAAAAAUAACAGGUGAUUAUGACUAAUGGGCGUAAACUUUAAGACGGUCUAGAAGAAGAGAAAGCGAAACUUCACUGCAUUCGCUUUGUUGCUGUUCUUCAGAGCACCUGACCAGAAUGGGCAAAAUAUACCAAGUUAUCGUUCUUGGUCUCAAAGGGGAAAAGAAAACGAUUGAUGUUGCAAACUCUGAAACGGAUUUCAACAACACCACUGUGGUGGCCUUCAAAGAAAAAAUCACAGAGAAAUUUCCUGAACUUAAAGGGCAGAAUUUUAAACUGAUGUACACUGAUGAACAGCUACAGGACGAUGAGACCUUCUCCAAGUACGAAAUCCAGACUGGCUCCAUUAUCGUUCUCAUUCUGCGCCUGCCUGGAGGAUCUGCACUGUAAAAUAAUGGGAUGAACACGGAAUCUUCAGCUUUCUGGACUUUUAAUUAAUAUUUUCUUGUCUUUUUAAGUUAAUCAAACUUGUAUGAGUAUUUGCCCUUAAUUAAUGUAUUUUGGAUGAUUACUUUACAAAUGUACAGACGUUCUUAAGUAGAAUGUAGCCUUUUUGCUUAUAAAUACAGUUUGCAUAUAGAUGGUAACCAAUACAUUCAUUUAAUGUUUACUGUUGCUGGUCGGCUUAUGUAAAUGCACUUUAGAAGUUACAUUGUCUCCAGUUUUCCGUCUAGUACUCGUAGUCGAUUUCCAGACAACAAAUCAUAAAAUACAUUUCUAAAUUAAUCUAUUGAAAGAAAUCUAAAUUAAAAUUAAAUUGCCUACAUCAAAUUCCAAAUAAUCAAUGGGAAAAUGCAGUACCAGUCUAAAGUUUUUUUUUUUAUUUAUUUUUUUAUUUUAUGAAUAUUCUACAUUGUAGACUCAUAUUAAAGACAUGAAAACAAUUUAGCGACACAUAUGAAAUUAAGUGUUUGGUCUCCACAAUCCCCUGACCUAAACCCAACUAAGAUUGGGGAUUUGGGAUAAGAUGGAGCGCAGUGUGAAGAAAAAGCAUAAACUAUUGUUUAACACUGGAAUUCUGUCAAGACGCUGAAAAAACUAUUCCAGGUGACUCUACCUUAUUAAGACACUGCAUGGGAAAAUACCAAGAGUGUGCAGAUCUUUCCUCAAAGCUAAAUAUGGCUGCUUAAAAGAAUCUAAUGUCUACAACUUUCUAGUUUGUUUAACACAUUUUGUUUAGAACAAAAUUCUGCAUGUGUUUCGAUAGUUGUAAUGUUUUCAAUAUUACAUUUACACUGUAAAAACAAGUGAAUGAGAAGAGGUGUGUCCAAGAAUUAGACAGGUACUGUAUAUAUUAUUCUUAUUGUACUUACACACCUCAAUUUGCUUAAAUUAUGUGUGGAAAAAAAAUAUGUUACGUCUAAAAUUAACGGCCUAGAAAAUGAAGCGAAAAAGCGUUGUCGGCUUUGCCGUAUAUGACCCAAUAUCGUCUUUUUACAUGAUGGGUAUAUGCAGAAAUACUGUGCAGUUUUUUUAGAGUAUAGUUUCCUUAUGUAAAAUUAUGUACGAAAUAGGUUAAUUAUUAAAAUACACAUAUACAGUACAAAAUAUUGCAAAACUAUUUGAAAGCUAGGUGCAUGGCUUAGUCUAGAGCUCUCUGUUGCAUUUUUUAAUACACCUAGCUAGUGUUUGGUUUGAACUUAAUGGCUUAGCAAUGUAACAAAACUGGUUGACCUAUGUGAUUUAAACCACCUGGAGCAUUGUAAAGGUAGAUUUGAAAAGCUAAAUUAGACUUUUAAGCUGUUUCAUUUUUUCAGUAAGAAAUUGUAGGCUAUGUACUGAGGGUAGAAGUUUUAAACUGAACUGUGUGGAAUUUACCUGAACCAGAUGUACAUGUAGUUUCAGACACUAAUUUCCUCUUUGCUCACACGACAGCAGUUUUCUGAACCCUUUAAAGCGUUGAAGUGAAACUGAAACGGCCAGAGCUAUUUCAUCUAGCUCUGUGCGCUUUGUAAACAGGUUUUUUUGCUUUGUAAAAGACAAGAGAUCGUUACUCGGCGGUGUUAUGGGGUGCGUUUUAAGUCUAUUGCGAAAACUUGCAGCAAAUCCAUUUGUACAAAAAAGCCCCAGGCAUGGAGCCAUUACAUACAAUGGCUUAAUAAAUCAGGGCUCAACCUGCUACCUAAACACAGUGCUACAGUGUCUCUGCAUGACCAAAGACUUCAGAACAGCAGUGGAGAACUUUCAACCAGGACAGAAUGACUCCCACCAGGGAAGAACUGAUCUGUUAAUACAGCUGCAACAACUGUUUGAAACACUUAAAGAGACUCAAGGCACCACUCAAGGGAUAACUAAAAGUUUGGGCAUCAAGAGUGUGUAUAAGCAGCAAGAUGCAGUGGAAUACUAUCAGAAAAUCGUAAAAGCAGUUGGGCCACCAGCAUCACAGGUACCAUUAUUAUCUAUAAAGUGAGUAUUGCACCACUACUGUAUUUCUUAAUUGAAGUUGUUUAUUUUCAGGUGUUUGAAGGGAAAAUGAGCAACAAAAGCGAAUGUGUGCAAAGCCACAUUUUUCAGGAGAGUUGUUCCUUCAUCACAAUCCCUCUAGCCAUAGAAUGUGGAGACGAUGAGUUGUACAAAGUGGAGGAGGGAUUUGAGGCUUUUUUUAAACAUUCAAAGUUAGAUGAAGACAACUGGUUGUACUGUGACGAAUGUGACCAAAAAGCAGAAUCAGAGACUGUGAGUACAUAAGUGUGUCACACUUGUCCGUCUUUAAUUGACCUCAUAUGUUUGCUCUUUUAAUGUGGGUCUAACAUUUUCAUUAACAGACGGAUGGCUUUCCCCAAAGUUCACAGCUGCCCUACUUACUGAUGUACAAACUGCAAAGAGCACAAGGAUCAUGGAGAAGUUAUGCACUGCAUAAACUCAAACAACCUUGUGUGUCAUUAUAUUAUUUUUGUUCAUUUGUUCGUAUAUUUGUAGGUUUGUUCGGCAUUAUCAGUAUUUGUCUGUAUAUGCCUGGAAUUUUAAGGUCUCUUAGAUCCAGACUUUGCAGGUUGGUUAGUUUUUUGUGAGGCAUGAUGGCAGAAACAACAAGAAAUCAAGGAGUAUUAAAUCAAAAUUACAUUACAUUACAUUUGGCAGACACUUUUGUCCAAAGUGACUUACAAUAAUGAUGUACAUAUAGUAAUACAAGUUUAAGGUAAAAAAAUAAAGACAGGGCCUAAAGGAGGCCAAAGGGAAAUAGUGUGAUAUAGGAGGAAAGGAGGGGAAGAAGGAAAUGAGGUUAGAAGUCGUUUGUUAGAGGUGUUAGGAGAGCAAGUGUUCUUUUAAGAGUUAUGUCUACAUUACAUUACAUUUAUGGAUAAUAUCAUACAAUAUCAUAUAAUCAAAUUGAAUAUAUACUAAAAAUAUUUUGGUGAAUGUAAGGGUGAGGUAUUAAACAAUCAGGUUUCUGUAUAAUGAGUAGAAUGUCUAUCGUAAGAUUUACAGAUUGCAAGUGAACCAGAUAUGCAAAUGCAACUAAAGAUUUAAGGAUAAGAACAGCAAACCACAACCAGAAAUGUCCAAGGUGUGACUGUGAAUGAUUAAAAGUAGCAGCAAAACUAAAACAACAAGCAUAGGCCCAAAAACACAGUGGCAAAACAAAAAUAAAUUAUUAUAUUCUAAGUGUGUAACAGUAUGUUGUUUAAUUGUAUGUAUGACCUUUAAAACGGAUACAUGUACAUACUAUGUACAAAUUGUGUGAAAUAAACUGUAAUGAAACAUGAUCUUUUCAACUGUCUAUGUAGACUUUGUAAAUAAAAUGAAACAUUUACACA